rnacentral:rRNA from 1 species
UGGGGAAUAUUGGACAAUGGGCGAAAGCCUGAUCCAGCCAUGCCGCGUGUGUGAAGAAGGCCUUUUGGUUGUAAAGCACUUUAAGCGAGGAGGAGGCUACUUGGAUUAAUACUCUAGGAUAGUGGACGUUACUCGCAGAAUAAGCACCGGCUAACUCUGUGCCAGCAGCCGCGGUAAUACAGAGGGUGCGAGCGUUAAUCGGAUUUACUGGGCGUAAAGCGUGCGUAGGCGGCUUUUUAAGUCGGAUGUGAAAUCCCUGAGCUUAACUUAGGAAUUGCAUUCGAUACUGGGAAGCUAGAGUAUGGGAGAAGAUGGUAGAAUUCCAGGUGUAGCGGUGAAAUGCGUAGAGAUCUGGAGGAAUACCGAUGGCGAAGGCAGCCAUCUGGCCUAAUACUGACGCUGAGGUACGAAAGCAUGGGGAGCAAACAGG